rnacentral:SRP_RNA from 23 species
CUCGGCCUUUCGCGGUUUUAACGCCCAAACCUGGUCAGGAUCGGAAGGUAGCAGCCACAAGGGAUGCUUGAGGCAGGCGAG